AUGACCUCACGGUGGUAAGAUUACCCGCUAAACUUAAGCAUAU
rnacentral:rRNA from 1 species